rnacentral:rRNA from 1 species
GACGAACGCUGGCGGCGUGCUUAACACAUGCAAGUCGAACGAAGUGGCGAACGGGUGAGUAACGCGUAAUUAACCUGCCCUUCAGAGGGGGACAACAGUUGGAAACGACUGCUAAUACCGCAUACUGAAGGAGGGGAUUGCGUCUGAUUCGCUAGUUGGAGGGGUAACGGCCCACCAAGGCGAUGAUCAGUAGCCGGGUGGAGGGGAUGGACGGCCACAUUGGGACCGGGGACCGGCCCAAACUCCUACGGGAGGGAGCAGGGGGGAAUUUUCCGCAAUGGACGAAAGUCUGACUGCGCACCGGCGGGGGAGUGAUGACGGCCUUCGGGUUGUAAAGCUCUGUUAAGCGGGACGCGGUACCGGAAUAGAAAGCAACGGCUAACUACGUGCCAGCAGCCGCGGUAAUUC